rnacentral:lncRNA from 10 species
UUAGUGUAAAAGGAUAAGGGCCAGGCGCGAUGGCUCAUGCCUGUAAUCCCAGCAAUCUGGGAGGCUGAGGCGGGUGGAUCACAAUGUCAGGUGUUCAAGACCAGCCUUGCCAACAUGGUGAAACCCCGUCUCUACUAAAAAUACAAAAAAUUAACCGGGCAUGGUGGUGCGUACCUGUAAUCCUAGCUACUUGGGAGGCUGAGGCAGGAGAAUCACUUGAACCCCGGAGGCAGAGGUUGCAGUGAGCUGAGAUCACGCCAUUGCACUCCAGCCUGGGUGACAGGGCGAGACUCUGUCUCAAAAACAAACAAACCGGGGGGCUAGGCACAAGAUAGCUCACGGCUGUAAGCCCAGCACUUGGAGAGAGCUCAGCCUUGUGCAACAUAGGGAGCCUCCGUCUCUGCAAAAAUUAGCCGGGCUUGGUGGCGCACAUUUGCGGUCCUAAUCGCUCAUGAGGCUGAGGCAGGAGGAUCGCUUGAGGCCAGGAGGUUGAGGCUGCAGAGAGCCAAGACCACUGCACUCCAGCCUGGGCAACAAAGCAACCCUGUCACAAAAAAGUUACACAGGUUAAAAAGUAAAAUGGUAAUAAACCCAGCACUUAAUGGUUCUCAACACUUUUUUUUAGUAUAUCCCCUUUUUCAGACCAUCUAGUGAAGAGUCCCAGUAUAGAAGCCAGGCAGGAGACAGCUGGUGUUCCGAACUCCACCCUGCCCUGUGGCGCCGGACUGGGAGUAAAGCUCACCUCCUGCUUUUCCUCAAACCAGUCCAUUAUUCUGCCUGUGAGAAAAGCAUGCUGCAAAGGAACACCACAGACCUGCCUUAAGAGCUUGUGUAUUUCAGUCCUGCGAAUGAUAGGAAAUAUUGUCAUGAGUUUGCUGGUCUCUUCAGUUCCUCCGGGAUCAAGCAGGCACUUGGGAAUCACAGUCACUUGGCUGCCCAGGUUCAUUUUUUAUACCAUCAUCGUUCAUCUGUCCAGUUCAUGACCCUGUCCAGGGGCAACCCCAACAAUGCCCUUGCCGUAACAGGUGAGUGUAGACCACUUCUAAUGCCAGGUAUCCAUGUGUAGCCCCCACUGGAAUUGUUUAUUUAUAUCAAGGGAUUGAGUGGAUACGCAAUUAUUUCAACUAGUUCCAUUAAGAAUUAUUUAACAGAAUACUGUUUUCAAAAUGUUUACAUUUCGGAUCCAGUCUUGAUGAGCUAUCUACAAGCUUAAAUGUGUGGGUUUACAUUUGAUUUGACUUUUGGUGGAGUUGCUGAACAUCUUGGGCAGAAGUGGAAGUGAGGACCUGGCAUGGAUACGGUGAAGACUGGAGAUGGGAUGAACCAGACAAUAAUGAAAACCUAGCACAGCUUCUAGGUGCCUCUAACUUUACCCACAGUAGUUAGUCUGUGGGUGAGGUCCCGCUUAUUGUAUAUGUCAAGCCUUCUAUUAAGUAGCUGAUGAGCUUAAAAAAAAAA